rnacentral:misc_RNA from 1 species
GAAAUGCGAUACGUAGUGUGAAUUGCAGAAUUCAGUGAAUCAUCGAAUCUUUGAACGCACAUUGCGCCCUUUGGUAUUCCAAAGGGCAUGCCUGUUCGAGCGUCAUUUGUACUCUCAAGCUUUGCUUGGUGUUGGGCGUUUUUUGUCUUUGGCUCGCCCAAAGACUCGCCUUAAAACGAUUGGCAGCCGGCCUACUGGUUUCGCAGCGCAGCACAUUUUUGCGCUUGCAAUCAGCAAAAGAGGACGGCAAUCCAUCAAGACUCCUUCUCACGUUUGACCUCGGAUCAGGUAGGGAUACCCGCUGAACUUAAGC